rnacentral:misc_RNA from 1 species
AACACUGUUAACCUGCGGUACCUGCGGAAGGAUCAUUACCGAGUGCGGGCCCUCCGGGUCCAACCUCCCACCCGUGUUUAUUAUACCUUGUUGCUUCGGCGGGCCCGCCAUUCUGGCCGCCGGGGGGCUCGCCCCCGGGCCCGCGCCCGCCGAAGACACCCCUGAACUCUGUCUGAAGCUUGUAGUCUGAGUGGAAUGAUAAAUUAGUUAAAACUUUUAACAAUGGAUCUCAGAUCGGAA